AUAUAUAUAUAUUAUAUAUAAAGUGUAAUCAUUAUCUUAAAUAGAUGAUCAGAAAUCAUGGUAAAUCAUGCCGGUUUACAAUACUGCUCUCGGUGAUCUGCACGAAUUAGAGAACAGAUGAUAAAUGAAAGAAAUUUAAAAAGGUAUCCCACUAAACCAUCCAUUAGUCAACGUUUCGUGUAUCAUUUGCGUAAGCUCCUGUGGAAAUAUUAUACUGAAUAUUGUUUCUAACAUUGAAAUUGUUAAAUGAGUUUCACACAAUGUUGUACAUGACAAACAUUGAUAAUUGUGUCACUAAUCACAUUUGAAAGAGGUAGAGAGGAGCAGCUUGCUCACUUGUUUAGUAAUAUUAAGCUUCUUGAUAUAUUUUUACCAAAAAAAAAAAAAAAUGACCCUAGUACACAUGCCAAAUGACUACCCAAAAUCGAUGUUUUUAUGAAAUUAUUUCCCUGCCAUGAAUAAAAAAACAUGAUUGAGGAACAUUUUGUAGUAUUUGUAAUUCCUCUCACUCUAGAUGUCAAGACAUAUGCUGUGAGGAUGGAACGGUGCAGGAAUCUAUUAAUUAAUUUACUGAUAUAAUAUUAGGACAGUUUACUUGAAAAUGAUAUAGAGGGGGAUGCAACAUCUAUAAAUUUUUUGCCACUGCUGUCGCUGCUGAUUUCUUUCUUAAUUUCUUUCUUUCUUUCUGUCUUUCCACCUUCUUUCUUUCCCUUUGAAGUGGAGAGUGAGGAGUGGGCAGGUACUGGUUGUUUCUGAGGUCGCCUUCACUGGUGUGGCUGUCAGGAAUGUGUUGGGUAAAUCCCUUUCAUGAGGUCAGGUAACCCCUCAUUGUAUUUAAAUGGAGUAGCUCAAGAAGCCACACAAAUCAAAUGAGGCUUGAACUAAACAUUUUCUACUCUAUUAUUAUGGUUUUGAAGAUCAGUUACAUUGCCAUGCCCAUAUUGUCACCCUGAUAUUAAUGCUCUUGAUUGAAAUAUGACACACAGGCAGUCAUCACCUAUUUCGACGAAAUUCAUGGAUAUAUUUUAUUUUUUUUAAAGACUUGACUUGGAAAAGGAGUUAUCAUCUUGUAGUCAAACAAAAGUUUAAGAGCUGACAUAAAAAGGAGAGAUGUAUAAAUGUGGCCUUUUGUAUAUUGAAAUGAUGAAUAUGAAGUUAAUACCAUGAGUCAUCUAUAAAUUACACACCUUAACAAUCAGGAACGUAAUACAGUAUACCCUGCACGAGGUCAGGUCCAUAAUUAAUUUAACAUAGUUAUUGUUAAGAACUUGUUAAUCCUGUUGUCAGUUGAACCAGCCUUAGAGAGGAUCAAGAAACAAAUAGACUAAUCGGCAUUAUAUAUACUUGUAAAUUGUUUCUUAACCCAGUUUUUCUUGAAUUUUGACUUCAUAAAUUUAUGGGACAUGGACAGAACAGUUGGUUAGUGAUUACACUAUUAUGUGCUUCAAAGCCAGUUUCAGUUGUGAUACAAAAAUUAUCAUUAACGAUUCCAAACUUGAAAACACGUAACUCAAAUAGUGUACACACAAAUGCUGUAUAUAACUAUACUUGAAUAUGUAAAGUAAAAGGACACAAGUGCAACUAAUGUGACAUUUUAUUGUGGCAACGUUUCGCUCUCCAGGAGCUUUAUCAAGUCGUUGCCACAAUAAAAUGUCACAUUAGUUGCACUUGUGUCCUUUUACUUUACAUAUUGUUGGUAAUUCUACCAACUUUAUUACUAUACUUGAAUAGUUGAUAUCUAUAAACUGUAAUCCCUAUAAUGAAAAAUAUAAUAUGUUUGUUUUAGUCUUACUGGUUUUGCUAAGAAGAUCCUGCCCACACACACAUACUUGUCAACAUACUCUGCCAAGCAAAUAUUUUAAUUCCUAUAUAAGAACAAAAACUUUAAUAGGUCACCAAAGUCGGCUUAUUCGUCCAUGCUAGGCAGAUCUGGCUCUCGUCCAACCAUUCUUAUUUAUAUAUUUGUCCACGCUUUCCCAUUUGCACCACUUAUUACCACUCUAUUGCCUAACCAGUUCUUUCCUAUAUCCAUUUUAUAUUUUAAUUUAUUCACUUAGGAUACAUUGUAUAGAGUUCUAUUUUAGGUAGGUAUGUUCAGCACCUUAUCUGCAACUUUAUAUCUCUAUUCACUACACGGCAAAAUCAUUCAUGUCAGCAAAAUUGGGAAACCUCAAAUGCAAUAGGAAAAUGGAUAGUACAUGAACUUGCUUGCUCAUGUGCACUCACUUGUCAACAUACAAACAUACAUAUACACACAAACUCUCACACAGGUACAUACAGAAACACACGCAUACACAUAAAUGCACACUGACAAAGACCUGAGAGCAAACAUAACAUAAGGCAUAUUGCUAUGAUUAGCAGACUUCAGAAUGAUGUUCAAGAACUUGCACAAAAAAGCCUUGAGAACCUUGUAUGUGACAUACGUUAGGCCAGUCAUCAAAUAUUCCACCUCAGUGUGGCCCCCACACCUGAAAAGAUGUGUGAAGCUUGAGAAGGUCCAAAGGUUUGGAAUCAGGUUGGUGCCAGAACUGAGAGAUGCACUCUGAGGACAGGUUGAAGGAACUAAACUUGACAGCCCUGGCAGAGAGGACAAGAGGAGACAUGAUUAUGAUAUACAAAAUCUUAGAGGAAUAGAUAGACAAAAUGUUGUGAUUAAGGAGGAUAGGAUCAUGAUGGCACAGGUAAAAGCUGAAAAUACAGUCGAGUCAUAGAAAUGUAAGGACAUAGGGUGACUGAAAAGUGGAAUGAUUUGGUUGUUGCAGAGAUGGAGGCAAACUCGAUAUACAUUUUCUGAGUAUAUAUAAGGCUCACACCCUAUAUACAGUACAUACAUUCAUGCACUCACAUAAAAGUAUGCACACACACACACAAAAGCAUGCACAUACAAAAACACACUCAAAGAAGCACUCAUACAUACCAGCUUUUUAUACAGGAGGACCCCACUUGUACAGCAGGUUAUUUUUUGGGUUACUGCUGUAAAAUGAAACAUAGCCCCCCCUUUCUUUUUUCACGUUCAAAUGCAUAUAAAAGCCUGGUAACAUGUUUACACCAUCAUAUAUUAAGUGAGCAAUAGUGUUAGGCUAGAAACAAAUAUACAUACAUUACAUACAUUAUUUACCUUAAAAUAUUUUUGUCCUUAGCUUAUAGUGAGUGGUAGAUAUAUUUAUUGAAGGAAGUCUGAAUAAAUGAAGAAUGGGUAUAAUUGAAAAACCGCUGUAUUGGCGAUAUACCCUAAAGCAAAACCGCGCCCCACCUCUAUGGAUAUAUGAAGGAUUUUAAUUUGCUGUUUAUUUUCUUUAUUUAAAAAAUAUAAUGAAAUAUGAAAGUUAAGCUUUGAAAUAAAUGCCACUGUCUCUGUAUCAAUUUACUUUAGAAUUUUUCAUUGUAACUUGAGUUAUUGCUUUAUGUAAUAUAUUUGUUUUUCCCUUGCAUAAUAAAUUUUUUCCCUCGCAUAAUAAAUUCUUUGUGUUGUAGUUCUUUGAAUUAAUAGGAAUUAUUGAAAAUUAAGCAAAAUAAUUGAUCUUCAGUUGUAUAACAAUGUUAUGCUCCAUAAGACGACUUUUAUUUUCAUAUUGACACCUCUUUUUAUAAACCCUUGUUGUUUUGCAUUUUUCUGCCCAUUCAGUGCUUCCUCCUUGUACACUUUUAAUGUAUGAAGAGCUGAACUUUGUGCAAAAACAAAUUCAGAGUUUGAUAAGAAUGGAUCUUGGGAUAAUGUAUACCCUUCAUGAGUUUUCUUCAGUUUCAUUCUUUCUUUUGCAACUGUCAAAUUUAAUAACUCAGAAUUUAAACUCUGACAAAUGGCAAUGUUUGGUUCAGUCUUCCAAUCAUGGCAGAUCAUCUUAUGAACUUUAGAGAUGGAGAAGGCAGGGAACAAAUGUUUUCUACUUUGUCAUCACAAUUGGAGAGCUGGGUUCCUACACCUUAUGUGAAGCAUUACACUUGUCCUUCCUACAUAACACAUUUAUUUUUUUAAAGAAUGCAUAGACAGUGUUCUGUUGUACAUAUAGUGUAGGUAGUGAAGUCUCUGUUUUCAAGAUCAGACUGUUAACAGGCUGAAAUGUUCUGCAUUCGGUCCUAUUAUUUCAUUCAUUAGUUGGGUUUGUGACUUUGUGUGGUUUGAAGAAUUUAACUGAAUAUAGUUAUUUGACAGUAAAUACAAAUAAGUGGUUUUUGCUUUUAGAACCUUGCAGGAAAUAUUAGUCCUGCUUACCUUAAAUCUGGAAAAGGAAUUGCAUCUCUGCACAUUGAUGUCUGUAGUCUUCCUUUCUCAUCUGCUUCACAUCCUUAGCUUCUGGGCAUUAUUAUUGAAAUUUUUCCAGCGUCACGGUAAGUGUGUUUAAGUAAUAGGAUGCAUUGCGUAUAAAUAAUAUAAAAAAAUUGUUAAACCGUACUGUGCCUAGGUGAGUGUUAGGACAACAGGCCCUAAAAAUACCCAGGGAAGUACUGUAUGAACAUUACUCAAUAAUUAUUGUUAAUUUUAUUGUAAUGCCCAUUACUUUGCAUCAUUACAGCUAGAAAGAGUAAUAACACAAAUGCAGCGUAAUAUGUCCCUUUAUUAAUGUUUUGCCAACUCGGUGGGGUUUAUCAAAUCUCAAACAGAUUUAUCUGAGAAGAGAGGAUGUGCAUAUACAUAGCGAGUGUAAUGACAUGGAGAGUCAGGUGAGGUACGUUGAAGCUGCCUUCUUGGGUAGAAUGAUAAGUUUGACGAAUAUAUGGCUAAGAAGAGGUUGGAUUCAAGAGGGACCUCCCUACCUUGAGCCAGUAGGCCUGCUGCAGUGUUCUACUAUAACUUACUUGGGUGGGAUAGCAAUCAUGAAGCUCCUGGCAAGAGGUUCAGAUAUAUUGUAGAAGCCUUUCUGGCUGAAGUUGUUUGAUAUGCUGAUUAGUGAUUCAAGAAUCCUGCAUUUUGAAGCUUCUUCUUCUUUGACACUCAGUUGUGUGACAUUGUAAUUGAUCUGGUGGUUGUAGGAUCUGUGAAACACAGGUGUUGCACAACUGGUCCUUUCGGCUGGUAUAUUUGUGUUCAGAAAUGCAUGUGUGGACAUCUCAGGAUGUUUCUCCCACUUAUCUUUGAUCAGUCAUUGUAAAUGAUUUUGUAUGCUCCCAUAGUUUUCACAUUGUAGUCUCUCUUAUUGGUGAUGCCCUUGAUUGCAGAAGAGACAGUGGUAGAUAUUUAGAAUUUGGUGUUGGAGAGAAUGCUGGAGAUGUGUUUAACAAUAUAGUUGUUAGGGAGGACCAUGCAUAUUCAUUCAUUUGUAUUGUUUAGGCGAGUUGAAGAUGUGUGCAAGGUGCCUUCAGUGUCUGAUGAAAUAAAAUGUUAUUGGAAAGAACAUUCUUCAAGGAAUUCACUUCUACAAAUAUGAAGAACACAGAGGAAUGAACCUAUGAUGAUAUAUUUAGGCUUGGUGUCAUGGUGUGAGUAGUCAAGGAGAUUGUGUUAACCCUUUGACUGUUUUGGUUGUAUAUAUACGUCUUAUGAGCCAGUGUUUCGGACGUAUAUAUACUCGGUAAUUCUAGCAGCUUCAAAUCAAGCAGGAGAAAGCUGGUAGGCCAUCAUGUGAGAGAAUGGGUCUGUGUGGUCAGUGUGCACCAUAUAAAACGUCUUGCAGCACACAGUGCAUAAUGAGAAAAAAAAAAACUCCGCCCCUUUUUUUUUUUUUUUUUUUGUAUUAAAACGCAGACUUUGAGGUGUAUUUUCGUAUAGUAUUUAUCAUUAUAUUCUCAUUUUCACAGUCUCGUGUGAUAAAAUGAAAAACUUAUUACAGAAAUAGAGAUGAUUUUGAUUAGUUUCAUGAAGAAAAUGACCUUGAAAUUGAGCUCAAAGUAGCGGAAAUGUUCGAUUUUUACCAAUGUUCAAGAGUAAGCAAAUCACACCACAUGUCCAAUACACAUCAACUGGGGAGUCUAAUAUUCAUUCACUAGUGCACUGAUAUUAUUUAUACCAUUUUUACAAUAAUGCAGUAAUCUGCAUACCUGGAGUUUACCUGGAGAGAGUUCCGGGGGUCAACGCCCCCGCGGCCCGGUCUGUGACCAGGCCAGUAAAUCUAUUUUUUGUAUGAAUUAAAAAUCAAAAUAGCAAUAGUAAUAUAAGAGGGGCCUAGAGAUGUGACUAAUGAACAGAGGAUAUGUUAUUUUAGUGCCAAGAAUGUCUACAUUGUUUAUUCUGGACCCUAUUUUGAAAUUGGCAUCUUUUUUAAUUUGCAUGAAAUUGGCCAAAUUGCCAAUUUCUGACCAUUUUAUUGGGUAGUUCAAAUUGGUAAAUGGGCAGUUUCUUGUACUCAGUUGAUAGAAAAAAUGGAAUUCUAAAGAAAUAGCUAAGAGUUUGGUCAACUGGAACAACGGAAUUGGCCAAAAUUAGGGCUCAAAGUCGGCGAAACCGCCGAUGUGUAUAUGUCGCUGAGACCGCUAACUUCGCGGGAGCGUAAUUCCGUGAGUUUUCGACCAAAUUUCGUACUUUUGGUGUCAUUACCAUUGGGAAAAGAUUAUCGUUUCAUAAGUUUUUUUUUUUUUUUUCUCCAAAAAUUUUUCGACAUAGAAUGAUAGUUUCAGAAAGGGACUUGCAACAGUCGGAGGGUUAAUUUGGAGGUUUUUAAGACUUUGCAAUGUAAUUCAUGAUCAGAUUUACAGAGAAGAACAUGAGGAAAGGUAGUGUGCCAUAAAUUUUGUCCACAAGUGUGAACUGAAACAGGGCUCCACCUGGUUAAACUAGGAGUGCUGGAUUCUGGGAUCUUCACUAAUCAGCAUAUCAGACAACUUCAUCCAGAACAACAACUUCUGCAACUUAGCUGAACCUCUUGCCAGGAAACUUAAUGAUUGCUAUCCACGUAGCAACAGAUUAUAGUACGUAUGGGGAAAUACUGCAGCAGGCUUACUGGCCUAAGAUAGGCAGGUCCCUCUUGAAUCUAAUCUCUCCUCAGCUAUAUAUUUGUCAGCUUAACAUACUUUGCCUGACUCUUCAUAUCACUAGGCUAUAUAUAUACGUGUGCGCACGCGCAGUACAACUUUGGUUAUCAGUUGCUUUACUCGUCGAGUAAAUCAGUUUUUGAAUAAGGUGUCUGAGAAAAAAAAAAGUCCUGGUUUUUUGUGCGUUCUCUUGGUUGUCGACAGACAAGUUUUCGCAUGUACAGAACUGGACAGUGACAGUGUAAUGUCUCAAUUUAGACAAGUGUUAAAAGAGAGCCUGAAAUAAACCUCACUAGACAGCUUUUUAGUGAGACAAAGAACCAGUGAGCCAGAACAAGGUGUUAGUGGUGAAGAGAGACAAAGAAGAGAAACAACACCAAGAGGACAGUUGCUUGACAUAUUAAUAGAUGAUGACUCCUUCCAAGUAUGUCAUUAGCUCUGAGAGGUAAGGGGAAGUUAAAUUUUCAUGUACUGUACAUUAGUAUAUUAAUAUUGUCAUUUGGGGUCUGGAACAAAUUCAUUUUAUUUUAUUCUUUAUGGUAAAAUUGUUUUCAUUGUCAUCGAUUUCGAUUGUCAAAUCGACAUCUGGAAACAUUAAAUUUGAAAACUGAGGUUCCACUGUGUGUGUGUGUGUGUGUGGUGUGUGUGUGUGUGUGUGUGUGUGUGUGUGUGUGUACAUAUAUAUGUACAGCCUCUCUCCCUAGGUAGAUCUUUUUGUAACUUGAUAAAGUAAACUGUGAGAGAAAUGUUAUCAAUGUAGGAUCACAUUAUACUGCAUUUAUCUUUAUCCAUAGUGGAAGCAUUUUAUGCCAUUUUCCUCCAACUAGAAGGAUUAAUGAAUUAAGCUUGAUAUUGCAAAAGGAAAGCCUGUUUAUCAUUGAUAAUACUACUGUUGGUGUUGAAAUAUAAUUUCAUUAACAAUUUUAAUAGUACAGUAGUAAUAGCAUUAAUAUUAGUAUUAAAUACAAAUGUUAAUGACAAUUGCACUUGUAAUUAAAGAUAGGCAGAUGUAGCAUUGAGGAUGGCAUUGAGAAUUGGCAAUAUUAGUAUAAAACUAAUGCACAUUAUAGAAACUGAAAUCUAAAUACAAUGUUAAAAUUAAUGGUAAAAAUACAAAUAAGUACGUAUUGUAAAGGCAUAUAUCUACAACCUAAAACACAUGACUAAAUAAGGGAUUGUAGGGAAGUUAGAAGUGAUUUUGUUCUAUGGGAAAUGUGUGCUGCACAGUAUGACUAAAAGGAGGAAAAUGGAAAAGCAAACAUGAUUGACUUGUUAUAAAAAAGGUAAAUUUUAAGUUAGAGAAUAUUUCAGAGAAGCAAAAUGGAAUCGAAUAUUAUAAAGGAUGUAUAGAAAAAUAGUUACGCAAAAAGUUCUUGAACGUAUUUGAAAGUAGAAUCGACAUUUCCUUCAUAAAAAAAUAAAUAAAAAAAAGUAGGUACUGGAGAGCCAUGGAAAAAAGGUCUUUGAACCAAAACAAGAAGUUUGUCAACUUAAAGACCUAGUAGACAUUUACAAGCUAGCAAUCAGUAAAUAUUUAAAUACAAGUAAAGAAGAGGAAAGAAGCAUUGUAAAAUGGAAUCAUAUCUCCUUGAGUUUAUAAAAAGCAAUCACGAUAUGAAAAAUUAAAAAAAAAAAAAAAAAAAAAAAA